rnacentral:rRNA from 1 species
GCCUACGGGGGGCAGCAGUGGGGGAUAUUGCACAAUGGGGGGAACCCUGAUGCAGCGACGCCGCGUGGGUGAAGGAGUGCUUCGGCAUGUAAAGCCCUAUCGGCAGGGAAGAAGCAAGACGGUACCUGACUAAGAAGCCCCGGCUAACUACGUGCCAGCAGCCGCGGUAAUACGUAGGGGGCGAGCGUUAUCCGGAUUCACUGGGGGUAAAGGGAGCGUAGACGGCCAAGCAAGCCAGGGGGGAAAACCCGGGGCCCAACCCCGGGACUGCCCUUGGAACUGCAUUGGUGGAGUGCGGGAGGGGG